AAAUAGCCCCGAUGGAAGCGACAUACUCUUGAGGCGGAGUUCGCCACAAGAGAUAUAGCGGACAGCGGGACAAAAC
rnacentral:sRNA from 2 species